UACAGAGGUCCCAAGCGUUGUUCGGAUUCAUUGGGCGUAAAGGGUGCGUAGGCGGCGCGGUAAGUCGGGUGUGAAAUCUCGGGGCUUAACUCCGAAACUGCAUUCGAUACUGCCGUGCUUGAGGACUGGAGAGGAGACUGGAAUUACGGUGUAGCGGUGAAAUGCGCAGAUAUCAGGAGGAACACCAACGGCGAAGGCAGCUCUCUGGGACGUAACUGACGCUGAGACGCGAAAGCGUGGGGAGCAAACAGG
rnacentral:rRNA from 1 species